rnacentral:rRNA from 1 species
GGGUGCGUAGGCGGCCUGUUAAGUCAGGGGUGAAAGACGGUAGCUCAACUAUCGCAGUGCCCUUGAUACUGAUGGGCUUGAAUGGACUAGAGGUAGGCGGAAUGAGACAAGUAGCGGUGAAAUGCAUAGAUAUGUCUCAGAACACCGAUUGCGAAGGCAGCUUACUAUGGUCUUAUUGACGCUGAGGCACGAAAGCGUGGGGAUCAAACAGGAUUAGAUACCCUGGUAGUCCACGCCCUAAACGAUGAACACUCGCUGUUGGCGAUACACAGUCAGCGGCUAAGCGAAAGCGUUAAGUGUUCCACCUGGGGAGUACGCCCGCAAGGGUGAAACUCAAAGGAAUUGACGGGGGCCCGCACAAGCGGAGGAGCAUGUGGUUUAAUUCGAUGAUACGCGAGGAACCUUACCCGGGCUUGAAAGUUAGUGAAUGAUCCAGAGAUGGAUCAGUGAGCAAUCACACGAAACUAGGUGCUGCAUGGCUGUCGUCAGCUCGUGCCGUGAGGUGUUGGGUUAAGUCCCGCAACGAGCGCAACCCCUAUGUUUAGUUGCCAGCACGUUAUGGUGGGGACUCUAAACAGACUGCCUGUGCAAACAGAGAGGAAGGAGGGGACGACGUCAAGUCAUCAUGGCCCUUACGUCCGGGGCUACACACGUGCUACAAUGGACGGUACAGAGGGCAGCUACAUAGCAAUAUGAUGCGAAUCUCACAAAGCCGUUCACAGUUCGGAUUGGGGUCUGCAACUCGACCCCAUGAAGUUGGAUUCGCUAGUAAUCGCGUAUCAGCAAUGACGCGGUGAAUACGUUCCCGGGCCUUGUACACACCGCCCGUCAAGCCAUGGAAGUUGGGGGUACCUAAAGUAUGUAACCGCAAGGAGCGUCCUAGGGUAAAACCGAUAACUGGGGCGAAG